rnacentral:rRNA from 1 species
UACGGGGGGAGCAAGCGUUGUUCGGAUUUACUGGGCGUAAAGGGCGCGUAGGCGGUCAGCACAAGUCAGUUGUGAAAUCUCCGGGCUUAACUCGGAAAGGUCAACUGAUACUGUGCGACUAGAGUGCGGAAGGGGCAACUGGAAUUCUUGGUGUAGCGGUGAAAUGCGUAGAUAUCAAGAGGAACACCUGCGGCGAAGGCGGGUCUCUGGACAGUUCCUGACACUGAGGCACGAAGGCCAGGGGAGCAAACGGG